rnacentral:rRNA from 2 species
CAAAGGACUCUCGRCAACGGAUAUCUCGGCUCACGCAUCGAUGAAGAACGUAGCAAAAUGCGAUACUUGGUGUGAAUUGCAGAAUCCCGUGAACCAUCGAGUUUUUGAACGCAAGUUGCGCCCGAAGCCUUUUGGCCAAGGGCACGUCUGCCUGGGCGUCACAC